GACGAACGCUGGCGGCGUGCCUAAUACAUGCAAGUAGAACGCUGAAGGAGGAGCUUGCUUCUCCGGAUGAGUUGCGAACGGGUGAGUAACGCGUAGGUAACCUGCCUGGUAGCGGGGGAUAACUAUUGGAAACGAUAGCUAAUACCGCAUAACAGUAGAUGUUGCAUGACAUUUGCUUAAAAGGUGCAAUUGCAUCACUACCAGAUGGACCUGCGUUGUAUUAGCUAGUUGGUGAGGUAACGGCUCACCAAGGCGACGAUACAUAGCCGACCUGAGAGGGUGAGCGGCCACACUGGGACUGAGACACGGCCCAGACUCCUACGGGAGGCAGCAGUAGGGCAUCUUCGGCAAUAGACGGAAGUCUGACCGAGAAACGCCGCGUGCGUGAAGAAGGUUUUCGGAUCGUAAAGCUCUGUUGUAAGAGAAGAACGAGUGUGAGAGUGGAAAGUUCACACUGUGACGGUAUCUUACCAGAAAGGGACGGCUAACUACGUG
rnacentral:rRNA from 1 species